GUCGCGGGGACCUCGAGCGUGCGUGCGAGGCCUAAAGCGCGCUAGGCUUGCUUGGCGCUGGGAGCUGGACCGAACGCGUGGGCGGGGGCAGGCAUGCCGGCAGGGCGGAGCCUUGGGCGAGGGGUGGAGCAAGGCGCUCCCAGAAACCCCGAGCGGGCGGCGGCGGGCAACUACCGCAGUUACGUGGGCUGGGGCGUCCGGGAGUGGGGCGUGGGGAGGCGCCCCCGAGAGGGUCCCUGAAUGAUGGUGGCCACCAGGACGGCCUGGCCGGGUCGCCGAGUCCCUGUCUCCCCCUUCUGUGUGCCUGCUGUCCCCCUGCUGGCCGGGACCCUGAGAAGGCUUUCCAGGAACUAAAUGAAAAACUUAAGAAGAGAAAUGGAAUUGUUUCCUUAGACAUAAAAGGAAUCCUCAAAGUGAGCUUUGAAGCCUUACACGUUGGUCCAUGUGGCUGAGGAAAAAUGCCUAUUAAAAGUGAUCCGGAGGUAUCGUCCAAGGUGCGCUGAGGAGGCAUGUUGAGGCACACCCACGUGGCCCAGUACCUGAUGGCGGGUCAGCUAGAGAUUGGAUCUUGUGUGACAGGUCCCCACCAUCUUUCUGAGAGGUAGAGGCAGAUGCUGUUUGUGACCCCAUGCCAAUCCGAGCAAAGGACUUGGAGACUUAACACCAAGGUCGUGAGAUUUAACACUAAGAAGAAAAGCUAUAAAACCACAUGUACAGAGUGCCUACUUCUCUGAAUACAGAAAAUGUGCAUAAAGGCAGGAAAGCUGAAAAACCAUCCCAGAGCAUCAAUACCGGUUAUUAAUGAGAGCAGAAUUAGGGGUGGGUUCCAUUCUCUCCUCUGCGCAGCCAGUUAGAAGUUCUACAAUCCAGUGGAAACCACGAAGCUCCUCCUUUCCAUUGAAGGUCAGUAUAAUUUCACCCAUCAGAGCAGGCGGGUGGUGCGAAUGAGGGCCCCCGGGGACAGGAGGGAGCUGCCUGUCAGGCAGUGGAAGGCGCGGUGUCCGCCCCAUCCUGCGACUGCAGCAGUUGCCCCACGACGAGCAAGUGCCUCCUCGAGCUUCCUGGCCACUAGGCUCCCUGUGGGCACCCUGGGCUGGGGCCUCCUGCCUCUGCCAUCCUGUGUUUGGCUCCUCUUGCCCUUCGCACCUGUGAGGCAGGUGUGCUGUCCAUGCUGGCGUUUUGCAUCCCUCUUGCUGUUUGGAAUUCUCUUGCCAACCCCUCAGCUGAAGCCACCUUAGGCAGAUGAGACCCAGUGCCAGGUAGGGCAAAUGGGACACGCGCAGGGCUUUGCCUGAUACCUGGCACGACCACCACCUUCUAACCCUGCUGCUCUGUGUCGCCCUGUCCCGAUGGUCACUGCACCCAGAAGCUACCAGCAGCUGCAUGCAGCGUGUCACACAUCAUUGUGCUCUCCCCUUUCAAGGCAAGGGGGUCCUACCCUCAGAGGGGUGGGGAGUGACACAUGCAGCUGCUGCGGGGCGAGAGGCAGGGUCUCAGACAGAAGCACCUGCCAUGGUCACUGCUUGUUCCACUUGCUCAGUGGCCCAUCCGGCUGGUGCGGUGCUCGUCCCACAUCCCCUGCAUGGAUGACUCACCCAGCAGACCUGGCCCAGCCCCCCAAUCCCUGCUGGCCUGGGCUAAGAGUCAGGCCCCAAGGCCAACAGGAAAGCAGUGGCAUGGUGGUAGGUGCGUGGGCCCAAGGGCAGCACGCUCCCUCCCAGGGUGCCUUACGCACACCCCCUACCUCAGGUCUCACCCCCAGUGUCCUGAGGGACACUCCAGGCUGAGAGGCACAGCAGGGACAUCUUCCCACACUGCCCUUCUGGAGGAUUCUGCCCCCAGGGGUGUAUCUGGGGGUGCGUCCAAGGGAUGGUCACAUAAGCUCAUGCCUGGAGGGUGGGCAUAGGUAUGAGAUGGCCCCCACCAGCCACAGAGAGUAGCCUACUCCGCUAUAACCCAGUGCCUCCCCAGCUUGGGAGCCUCUGGGACAUGGGGAGGUGCCGCGAGGGUUGCCUGGUUCCUGCCUCCCUGGAGACUUGAGUAUCCGCCUGUGUCUUGGUCCAGCCAGUGACUCUGGGUAAGGCAGGCACCUCUUUGACCCAGAGAAUCCUCCUUCGCAAAAUGAGGGUCCUGACCUAACCCUGCUGGCCUCAGAGGUCUGUAUGUGACCUCUGCAAAUGAGCCCAGGCUUCAAGGUGGAGCCCAUGCUGGCAAGGCCCAGGUCAAGUAUCUCAGACACACCACAAGUACAGGGCAGGUCUGCUGGGCUCCUCCAACCCCAGCUUGAUUUCCUAGGAACGUGGUAUCCAAAUACAGGGGCUGGGCACCCGAGGGGGCUCAGGUGACUUGUGGGAGAAGCAGGUGAAGUCCUGCCUGCCUGGGCAGCCUAGGCCAUUUCCCCUUACACACUUGGGCACAUCUGCCCUCCUGCCACGCUGACCUUCAUGCCUGUGUCCUAGCUGCCCCCUCCCUGGAAUACCCUUCCUGUCCUGACACCCAUCCCUGAAGGCCCCCAGUGGGGAGGCCACAUGCCCCUUCAUUAGUUAUAAGUUCUCCCCCACCCCCACUCCAUCUGACACCUUAUCAAGCCCCACAAACCUGCACAGUCCCUGGACCAGGGGCCACCCAUGAGCUCGUAGCCGGGGACUUUGUGUUGGGAGGUGGGGAGAUGCCAUCCCAGGAGGGCCAACUGCCCUCACCCACAGCCCACGACCCCCAGGUCAGCCUCUGCUGCACCAGUCUCUUUGCCACCUGCCCUCUGCUUUGCUGUCUCUCGCUGUCUCUCUGGGCUGCUGAGGAGCCCUGCAGCCUGCAUGGCCAAACUAUAAGUAUGUGAUUAUGUAUGCCAGGGUCCCUCUAGCCCUUUGUUGCUGCAGAAUCUGUUGUAGCAAACAAAAGUGCAUUGGAUUAGCCACAGUGGAUUAAAAGAUUUGCUUCUCAGAGUUUAUCUAAUAACCUAACAAUUGUGCCUACAGAGGCUUUGAACCUCCAGGACACGCUCACCAGGCCAUCUGGGAGCUCUCCUGUGAGGGCAGCAGACGGCAGGCGGGUGAUUACAGGCAGCCACUGCCCAGCCUCACACUUGGCUCUGCCCACAGCCAGGCCUGUGCUCUCAGCCCCUGCCAGACCUGUCUGGGCCAAACCUGGGGAUAGGAUCAGACCCCAGGAGAAGAAGGUGGAGGCCAGCUGAGGGGACGAGGCACGGCCAGGACUGCCUACCAGAGGGCCUGGGGUCCAAGGCCGGGUGUGGGUGGUGGGGGCCAAGGCUCGCCUGCACCCCGCUGCCUCGCCGGGCACACCCACACAGCACACACGGCAUCAAGGACACAAGCAAUGUGGAGGAUGGCCGUGGCAGGCAAGGGACAAGCCAGGCUUCACCACGCUGCGGCGCACAGCCCCACGGUGCACGUUCCUGGACACGCGUGCACUUACACACAUGCACACGCACAAGGAUGGCUCUCUUUGAUCACCAAAGGACACUCCAUUUACAAGCUCUUAAUCGCAGCUGCUUUUUCGGCGCCUGUCCUCUGAAGUCCCAAGUAAUGGGAUUUGGCACUUCUGAUCCAUCUUGGGCUGGCCGCUCCCAUUAUAGAUGGACAUUUUUCCCCUUUUUUCUGCUUCUUUUUUUUUCUCAAAUAAAAAAACCUUCUUAGGCCACAUUGACUUGACAUGGCUUGUCACCCAGCCCUGGGAGUGGUGGCCCCAAGGGCUGGGCGGCUCUUAAGCCAAGGGCCCUGACCAGGUGGAG